rnacentral:rRNA from 1 species
CCUACGGGUGGCAGCAGUGAGGAAUAUUGGUCAAUGGCCGGAAGGCUGAACCAGCCAUGCCGCGUGAAGGUCAGUGCCCUAUGGGCGUUAAACUUCUUUUGUGCGGGAGCAAUAAUGGUCACGUGUGGCCAGACGAGAGUUCCGUACGAAUAAGCAUCGGCUAACUCCGUGCCAGCGGCCGCGGGUAUACGGGGGAGGCAAGCGUUUUCCGGAUUUAUUGGGUUUAAAGGGUGCGUAGGCUGGGAGGUAAGGCAGCGGGGAAAUGCCCCCGCUCAACGGGGUGAGGUGCCAUUGAUACUGCCUUGCUUGAAUGCGGAUGCCGUGGGAGGAAUGUGUGGUGUAGCGGUGAAAUGCAUAGAUAUCACACAGAACACCGAUUGCGAAGGCAUCUCACGAAUCCGCGAUUGACGCUGAUGCACGAAAGCGUGGGUAUCAAACAGGAUUAGAUACCCCUGUAGUC